rnacentral:rRNA from 1 species
CCUACGUGAGGCAGCAGUGAGGAAUAUUGGUCAAUGGGCGCGAGCCUGAACCAGCCAAGUAGCGUGAAGGAUGACUGCCCUACGGGUUGUAAACUUCUUUUAUAAAGGACUAAAGUGAGGCACGUGUGCCUUUUUGUAUGUACUUUAUGAAUAAGGAUCGGCUAACUCCGUGCCAGCAGCCGCGGUAAUACGGAGGAUCCGAGCGUUAUCCGGAUUUAUUGGGUUUAAAGGGAGCGUAGAUGGGUUGUUAAGUCAGUUGUGAAAGUUUGCGGCUCAACCGUAAAAUUGCAAUUGAUACUGGCAGUCUUGAGUACAGUUGAGGUAGGCGGAAUUCGUGGUGUAGCGGUGAAAUGCUUAGAUAUCACGAAGAACUCCGAUUGCGAAGGCAGCUUACUAAACUGCCACUGACAUUGAUGCUCGAAAGUGUGGGUAUCAAACAGGAUUAGAUACCCUUGUAGUC